rnacentral:rRNA from 1 species
UACGUAGGGUGCAAGCGUUGUCCGGAAUUAUUGGGCGUAAAGAGCUCGUAGGCGGUCUGUCGCGUCUGCUGUGAAAACUCGGGGCUUAACCCCGGGCCUGCAGUGGGUACGGGCAGACUAGAGUGCGGUAGGGGAGACUGGAAUUCCUGGUGUAGCGGUGAAAUGCGCAGAUAUCAGGAGGAACACCGAUGGCGAAGGCAGGUCUCUGGGCCGAUACUGACGCUGAGAAGCGAAAGCAUGGGGAGCGAACAGG